rnacentral:rRNA from 1 species
UUCCGGUUGAUCCCGCCGGAAGUCACUGCUAUUGGGGUCCGACUAAGCCAUGCGAGUCAAUAGUUCUUCGUGAACUAGGCGGACGGCUCAGUAACACGUGGGUAAUCUACCCUCAGGACAGGGAUAACCCCGGGAAACUGGGGAUAAUACCUGAUAGGUGGAGAGGUCUGGAAUGAUCCUCCGCCCAAAGCUCCGGCGCCUGAGGAUGAGCCUGCGGCCGAUUAGGUUGUUGGCGGUGUAACGGACCACCAAGCCUGAGAUCGGUACGGGCACUGAGAGGUGGAGCCCGGAGAUGGGGGCUGAGAAACGGCCCCAGGCCCUACGGGGCGCAGCAGGCGCGAAAACUCCGCAAUACGCGAAAGCGUGACGGGGGGACCCCAAGUGUCAUGCCUUCGGGUAUGACUU